rnacentral:rRNA from 1 species
UACGUAGGGGGUCAGCGUUGUUCGGAAUUACUGGGCGUAAAGAGUGUGUAGGCGGUGCUCUAAGUCUGUUGUGAAAUCUCCCGGCUUAACUGGGAGGGUGCGGCGGAAACUGGAGUGCUAGAGGAUGGGAGAGGUAAGCGGAAUUCCUGGUGUAGCGGUGAAAUGCGUAGAUAUCAGGAGGAACACCUGUGGUGUAGACAGCUUACUGGACCAUAUCUGACGCUGAGACACGAAAGCGUGGGUAGCAAACAGG